UACAGAGGUCCCAAGCGUUGUUCGGAUUCACUGGGCGUAAAGGGUGCGUAGGUGGUGAGGUAAGUCGGAUGUGAAAUCUCCAAGCUCAACUUGGAAACUGCAUUGGAAACUACCUUGCUAGAGGAUUUGAGGGGGGAUUGAAUACUUGGUGUAGCAGUGAAAUGCGUAGAUAUCAAGUGGAACACCAGUGGCGAAGGCGAAUCCCUGGAAAAUACCUGACACUGAGGCACGAAAGCUAGGGGAGCAAACAGG
rnacentral:rRNA from 1 species